rnacentral:rRNA from 1 species
GCAGCCGCGGUAAUACGGAGGAUCCGAGCGUUAUCCGGAUUUAUUGGGUUUAAAGGGUGCGUAGGGCGGCCUUUUAAGUCAGCGGUGAAAGUCUGUGGCUCAACCAUAGAAUUGCCGUUGAAACUGGGGGGCUUGAGUAUGUUUGAGGCAGGCGGAAUGCGUGGUGUAGCGGUGAAAUGCUUAGAUAUCACGCAGAACCCCGAUUGCGAAGGCAGCCUGCCAAGCCAUGACUGACGCUGAUGCACGAAAGCGUGGGGAUCAAACAGGAUUAGAUACCCUGGUAGUCCACGCAGUAAACGAUGAUCACUAGCUGUUUGCGAUACAGUGUAAGCGGCACAGCGAAAGCGUUAAGUGAUCCACCUGGGGAGUACGCCGGCAACGGUGAAACUCAAAGGAAUUGACGGGGGCCCGCACAAGCGGAGGAACAUGUGGUUUAAUUCGAUGAUACGCGAGGAACCUUACCCGGGUUUGAACGCAUUCGGACCGAGGUGGAAACACCUUUUCUAGCAAUAGCCGUUUGCGAGGUGCUGCAUGGUUGUCGUCAGCUCGUGCCGUGAGGUGUCGGCUUAAGUGCCAUAACGAGCGCAACCCUUGCCACUAGUUACUAACAGGUAAAGCUGAGGACUCUGGUGGGACUGCCAGCGUAAGCUGCGAGGAAGGCAGGGAUGACGUCAAAUCAGCACGGCCCUUACAUCCGGGGCGACACACGUGUUACAAUGGCGUGGACAAAGGGAAGCCACCUGGCGACAGGGAGCGAAUCCCCAAACCACGUCUCAGUUCGGAUCGGAGUCUGCAACCCGACUCCGUGAAGCUGGAUUCGCUAGUAAUCGCGCAUCAGCCAUGGCGCGGUGAAUACGUUCCCGGGCCUUGUACACACCGCCCGUCAAGCCAUGGGAGCCGGGGGUACCUGAAGUCCGUAACCGAAAGGAUCGGCCUAGGGUAAAACUGGUGACUGGGGCUAAGUCGUAACAAGGUAGC